AGAGUUUGAUCCUGGCUCAGGACGAACGCUGGCGGCGUGCUUAACACAUGCAAGUCGAGCGGAAAGGCCCUUCGGGGUACUCGAGCGGCGAACGGGUGAGUAACACGUGAGCAACCUGCCCCUGGCUCUGGGAUAGCUCCGGGAAACCGGGAUUAAUACCGGAUAUGACCUGCUUACGCAUGUUUGCGGGUGGAAAGUUUUUCGGCUGGGGAUGGGCUCGCGGCCUAUCAGCUUGUUGGUGGGGUGAUGGCCUACCAAGGCGACGACGGGUAGCCGGCCUGAGAGGGCGGGCGGCCACACUGGGACUGAGACACGGCCCAGACUCCUACGGGAGGCAGCAGUGGGGAAUAUUGCGCAAUGGGCGGAAGCCUGACGCAGCGACGCCGCGUGGGGGAUGAAGGCCUUCGGGUUGUAAACCUCUUUCACCAGGGGCGAAGCGAAAGUGACGGUACCUGGAGAAGAAGCGCCGGCUAACUACGUGCCAGCAGCCGCGGUAAUACGUAGGGCGCAAGCGUUGUCCGGAAUUAUUGGGCGUAAAGAGCUCGUAGGCGGCCAGUUGCGUCUGCUGUGAAAUCCCGGGGCUUAACCCUGGGCGUGCAGUGGAUACGGGCUGGCUGGAGGCAGGCAGGGGAGAAUGGAAUUCCCGGUGUAGCGGUGAAAUGCGCAGAUAUCGGGAGGAACACCGGUGGCGAAGGCGGUUCUCUGGGCCUGUUCUGACGCUGAGGAGCGAAAGCGUGGGGAGCGAACAGGAUUAGAUACCCCCGUAGUCCAGAGUUUGAUCAUGGCUCAGAACGAACGCUGGCGGCAUGCCUAACACAUGCAAGUCGAACGCCCCGCAAGGGGAGUGGCGCACGGGUGAGUAACGCGUGGGAACCUGCCCUGGAGUGCGGGAUAACCGAGGGAAACCUCGGCUAAUACCGCAUACGACCUGAGGGUGAAAGAUUUAUCGCUCCAGGAGGGGCCCGCGUCGGAUUAGCUAGUUGGUGAGGUAACGGCUCACCAAGGCGAUGAUCCGUAGCUGGUCUGAGAGGAUGAUCAGCCACACUGGGACUGAGACACGGCCCAGACUCCUACGGGAGGCAGCAGUGGGGAAUAUUGGACAAUGGGGGCAACCCUGAUCCAGCAAUGCCGCGUGAGUGAUGAAGGCCUUAGGGUUGUAAAGCUCUUUCGCCCGCGACGAUGAUGACGGUAGCGGGAGAAGAAGCCCCGGCUAACUUCGUGCCAGCAGCCGCGGUAAUACGAAGGGGGCGAGCGUUGUUCGGAAUUACUGGGCGUAAAGGGCGCGCAGGCGGCCCUUGAAGUCAGGCGUGAAAGCCCCGGGCUCAACCUGGGAAUAGCGCUUGAUACUCGAGGGCUUGAGUGCGGGAGAGGAGAGUGGAAUUCCCAGUGUAGAGGUGAAAUUCGUAGAUAUUGGGAAGAACACCGGUGGCGAAGGCGGCUCUCUGGACCGUAACUGACGCUGAGGGCGAAAGCGUGGGGAGCAAACAGGAUUAGAUACCCCCGUAGUCC
rnacentral:rRNA from 1 species